rnacentral:rRNA from 1 species
UCUCGGGGGCGGCGGUUGUUAGAUGCCUCUAGCCCUAGCAGGUGUGGGAAGGCGGCGGCGGCGGCGCUUUUCCUCUCGCUCCGGCUGAGGCGGCGGCGCUACUCCCGGUUCACCUUCUUCUUCUCCUACUCCUCCGAGUUCUCCUUCGCGGCUUUCUACUCCGUCGCUAGGUUCAUCCGCGGAACCUCGUCCCCUUCGUAGUAGGAUGUAGGUCCGACGGUCCGUAGCUCCCUCCUGCCGUACCAGAUCACUAAGGACCGCACAAACGACGAUACCGACACCUUCGACAGAAUGGACACAAGACAGGUUAAAUCGACAAAUUACGAUCAGACCAAAACAAGGUUCUGACUCAAAAUACAUUACACCCUAAUAUACACAAACACUGACUUAAAAUACGUCGAUAAUUAAAACGUCAUGAGAACUAUAUACAUUAAGACGGGACGCAGG